CCUGGCCACCCUCAAGUCAGGAUGAGUGCGCAAGGAGGUUCCUCCCCGUGGACCAGUGAGAGAGGCCAAGAUGUCCCCAGAGCCGGGGAAUCUACCUAGGUGCAGUUUUUUUUUAAAUAAAGCCACGCAGGGCAGCUACUACCCCCUCCCUUUUUGCCCAAGGCUGGCACCAUUCCUGGCUCCAUCACUUAUCCUCAAUGCCCCCCCUGUGGGGGAAGGACUCCCAGGAAGACCCUGCACACGUUCUUGCCAUUACGCCUGGCACGGCACCUCUGCUAUUGCCUCUGCCUUCAUUGGGCUGCUUCUUCCCCCCUCCCGUCUCCUCUCCUCCUGCCACACACACGUCCUGCCUAGAGUCGCUCUGGCUGGCACACUUCCUUACUCCCUGGCGUGCCCACACUGUUCUCACCCCCAGCAUUCACUCCCCCUGUCCCCCUACGCCCCCAGCAUCCCUGCUUGCCGCUCCACGUGAGGGACAGAGUGGGGUUUGGUGGGCGCAUAAGAAGGAUGAGGCCUUCUGCGGACACCCCGGUCACCGUCUCGUGAGGAGCAGCAGCGGCGGCGCUCCAUCUCUGGGCAAGUGGAGGGACCCUCGAGUUUAGCUGCUUAGAAACGCCAGGCUGGGUAUAGUGGUACCACCCUGUAAACCCCAGCAGUUGGGAAGCAGCAGGCAGAGGCGGGAACAUCCGGAGUCUUUACGUCCUCACUGGCAAGACAGUGAGUCCCAAGCUUGGUCGACAUGACCAUAAACUGAAUCCAAAGCCAAAUAAAUAAAUAAAUAAAUAAAUAAAAAGGAAGGGGGUUAGAAAUCCACCAAGUGAUGGAGAUGUCGAGGGGAAGGAUGGGGCCCGGGGGUUACUUUCCCCUAGGAAUUAGCUACCUGGACCAGCACUGUGAUGGCUUUUUAAUAUCAGGACUAGCCUGGAAGAAGGUGAGUGGAACUUCCUGGAGAGGGUGACUACUGGAGUGUGGAGUAUUGGAUUGAAGGAGGCUGGGGCUCUCUGGGAAUGAUGGCUUUGACGUUUCUAGGGAUACUUCUGAAGUCAUUAAAAAAAUCAAUUGUGUGUGUGUGUGUGUCCGUCCCCUCAGACAAGUCAGAUGGCUAGAUGGAGGGAUAGGGGACACCUGUCCUGUGCUUUUCCUGUAGGAAACUGGGGCCAGGGCAGAAAGCCACUGGUGACACUGAUCUCUGAGAUCCCGGCUGCAGUGUGCAAGGCAGUACUAGCAGCCUUCAGGGGGUUGGAAGCAAAGGGACAUGGCAGAGGGAAUCAGGAAAGGCAAAGUCAGCGCCCCUCCAGCCUUCUUUCUGCCCCAAGUGCUAACCUAGGUGAAGAGAGAUUCCCUCCCCGCCUCCCGCUGUCACCCAAGUGCAGCAUGCUGGAGCAGCCCCUGCCCGUAGGGGAUUGGAUGGAAGAGACCCGGUGGCCAUGACGCAGGUCCCUUGGAAUAGACGUGAAGACCAACAGUUGCUGUCAUGGCCCUUUCUGCAGUUGGGACUCUGUCCGUCCUACUUUUCUGGCUGGGUCCAGAGCAGGGACUGAACAGUGGACGGGUGAGGGGUUGGUUAGCUGCCCUUACAGUGGCCAUGAGCCACCCACCCGACUUCAUAUCGGGGAAACAGUGCCGGGGCACAGGAUUUAUGGGUUGCAAGGGCUGUACACUGUCUGGCUUGUCCAGGACAAGGGGUGUCUCUGGGCCAGCACCCCACGGGGGAGAGAUGAAUGGUUACCAUCUUCAUGACCUUCCUAGCCAGACCAGAGAUGGAUCCUGUUCCUUCCAGGCUGUGAUGGGCUCCAUGUUUUCAUACAGGAACAAGGCUGGGUGGGCAAACGCUGGACCUCCACCGAGGGGAGGGGACUGCAGCUGCGCAUCCUGAUGACAGGUGUGUGUAUGGGUGCACACGGUGCAUAUUCAGAGUGGGAACAGCGCAGACCACGAACAAAGGCGUGGGUCAACAGCCUUCAGGGGCCGAGUCUGUCAUCAUCCAUCCUGAGGCUGGCUGUAACUCUGAGGUUCUGCGUACCCACUUGGGAUGGAGACUUUGGUAUUGUCCAGGCUGGCCCUGUGUUUAAGGCUCCCCGGACUGGACCCUUCCUUGUCCUGCUGGCUUCGUUCCUGGUUCUGUGGUUAACAACGGUCCACGUACUUGGGUCCCGAAUGACUGGAGCUAGCUUUUGUCCAGGCUAGCUCCUCUCCCCAGUGUGAGCUGAGGAAUCGGAUUCACCCAGCACCCCAGGAGCAAUGGAUUCAGGCCUACAGUCCAUCACUGAUUGCUGAAGGAUGGCCAAGAGGGAGCAGCCUACGUUGAGAAGCCCACGUCUCCUUGGAGUCCAGACCCCUCAUCCGAUGUCCACCCUGCAGGGGGCCCUUGUGCUCAGAUGGGCUGGGCUAAGAGCUAACAGGCCAAGGUGAGCAGCUGUCACAUUCCACAGCCUCGAGAUGUCUCUUGUUAUACUACCCCAGUCCACAGGAGAGCUUGACAAAUUUGAAGACCAGGGCCCACUCUGUGGAGAGAGGAGAGCUGAGAGAACUUGGGAGGCUGUCCCAAAUCUGGACUGAACGCUCAGCCUCAGGGGGCCUGCCUGUGGGACCUUGGCCAUCACUGACUUGAUUGGCUGUGCCGCUGGUGGCAUUGCCUUCUGUCCCUGCAUUGCCCUAGCUAACUCCAUGACUCCUUUACCAGCAGCAUGUUGACCUUAAGAGUUUGCUGCUCCCAGGCCAGGAAGAGCUGGACAAUACGUCCCCAUGAGGAUGGACUUCAGGGUCCAGAAUUAGCCGGCAUGCUACCAGAACCUUCGGGCUGCCCCGUAAAUACUGACUGCAUAUUUGGGAGGAUGGCUGAGUGAAUGAACGAGGUCCCGGCAAAGUGAAUUCAUGCAUGAGAAGAUGAUUGAGUGAAUGAUUAAGUGUUGUGUGGGGUGCGUUUAACAAGUAAGGGAGGGGACGCUUUCCUUCAGACCCGGGGAAAGUCCCUGACAAAGUCAUGACUAGGGUCCUGCUACACAUCAGUACUUUACAUAUGCCAUGUUUUCUCUGUAAAAUUAUGUUCUGUGAUCCUGUUUGUGUUUAAAAAAAAGAAGAAAGGUCAUAUCGAGAACCUCUUGUUUGCCAUUGUAAUGAGUCGGUGGAAAAUAAGUUCGUGUUUUGUCUUUCAGAAGAAUCCUGAGCCUAGGAGGCUGCAGGCGGCGGCAGGAAGUGUGGCUGUUGGAGGGUUUGACCUUGCUCUCCCCUGGCUUCCCCUUGUGUCUGAGGAAAGCAGCUUGUGAACUAAGCCGAGCCGGGGCCAAGGACCAGGUCUUGGGCUGAGCUCAAUAAAUUCCUAAGGCAAAGUGCAAA